rnacentral:lncRNA from 1 species
ACUCCCGGCCCUAGGGGGUCGGAGUAGGUCCAGCAGGAGUGACCCCCCGGGGCUGUGGGAUCUGAAACUUUUUCUUCUCUACUGCUUGUUCUCCCUUCCUCCAUCCCUCACCCCGAAGCGGGAAGCAGCUUUCUCUUCCCAGCUUCCAUCCAGUCUCUGAGUAGACCAGUCGCAGCUUAGAUGCUGGGAUCGCCUCAGAACACAUUUCUUUGCCCUUCACGGCCACUACCGGUAUUGGGGUAUGCGAGUCUCAGGGCCGUUCGUUGCUCACAGGUCGAGCUGGUCUGGACUCUGUUCGACCACGAAUCAUGACUCCUUCCUGCCAGUUAUGUCCCCUCCGCACCCUUGCCCAGCCAUUUUACCAGGCCUCUCCACAUUGCGCUGCCCCACGGACCUUAUCAAGCUUGAAGAUCUUUAAAAAGAAAAGUAAAAGUAAUGCAAGAGAACAAAAAGAUUGUCAGUGAAAGAUAUAUAAUUGCAUUAAGAUGUGGCCCUAAUCUUUCCACAGUCAAGCGUGUACUACUAUUUCACAGCAUUUUCCUUUCCAAACUGUGUGCCAAAUAAAUCGGGGUCUCCAACCCCAGAGCCGUGAACUGGUACCCGUCUGUGGCUUGUUAGGAAUGGAGCAGCACAGGAUGAAGUGAGUGGUGGAUCUGUCAAGUGGAAGACAUUCUGUAUUGCUCCAGGCAGCCUAACUACCAGCAAUGGAAGGAAAUAAAGGGAAACAGAUUUCAGCUCAGCAGGAGGCAGAACUUUCUAACAUUUAGAGCUGUCCAACAGUGGAGCAGGCUGCAUUACUUGAGGGAGUGAGCUCCCUGAAAUUUGAACUGUUGAACAGGAAGAUGACCAUCUGGCUGAAUGUACAGGAGGGAAUUCCUGCCUGGGCAACAGUUGCACUAGUGACCUUUAAGCAGGUAUCUUCCAAUUUUAAGGUUUCUAGACUGUUCAACUCAGCUAACUUGACCUCUGAAUAUAUGAGUUAUGGUGUUACAAAAAUUAUUAGACAGUUCAUUUAUUGACUUACCUAAAAUAACUGCAUGGUGAAGUUUAUGAUAAGCAAGAUUUUAGAAACUGAGAAGUGGGAAGGCAGGUUUUACACUGAAAAUCCAGAUACCAUCCAAACCAAUUAAUGGCACUUAGAACAAAAGGGAAGGGAGGGGCCGGCAGCGGUGGCUCACGCCUGUAAUCCCAGCACUUUGGGAGGCCGAGGCGGGCGGAUCACGAGGUCAGGAGAUCGAGACCAUCCUGGCUAACACGGUGAAACCUCGUCUCUACUAAAAAUCAAAAAAUUAGCCGGGCGUGGUGGCGGGCGCUUGUAGUUCCAGCUACUUGGGAGGCUGAGGCGGGAGAAUGGCGUGAACCCGGGAGGCGGAGCUUGCAGUGAGCCGA